ensembl:snRNA U4 U4 spliceosomal RNA
AGCUUUGCCCAGUGGCAGUAUCGUAGCCAAUGAGGUUUAUCUGUGGCACGAUUGUUGCUAAUUAAAAUGUUUUUAUUGAACUAUAAUUCACUUCAUAUACAGUUCACCCACUUGAAAUGAUUCAAUAAUUUUUUUGUAUGGUCAGACA